UUCCUUGCUGACCCACAAUGAGAACAUGGUGGCCAAAGUGGAUGAAGUGAAGUCCACCAUCAAAUUCCAGAUGAAGAAGGUGCUGUGUCUGGCAGUGGCUGUUGGCCAUGUGAAGAUGACAGAUGACGAGCCUGUGUACAACAUCCACUUAGCAGUCAAUUUCCUGGUGUCCUUGCUCAAGAAGAAUUGGCAGAACGUCCGGGCUUUAUACAUCAAGAGCACCAUGGGCAAGCCCCAGCUCCUAUAUUAAGGCACAGUUCAAUAAAUCCUAGUGCUGCCC